GAUUUCUGGUACGGCGCACUUGGCCCGUCGCGGUUACGCGUAUGUGUGCCGGUGUGCGCCUGCCAUCCAUCUGGAGAACGCUGUCGCCCUUCACUGGGUGGGCAGUGGUAUCCAGAUCUUUUACUUUGAAAAAAUUAGAGUGUUUCAAGCAGGCUUUAUGCUAUGAAUACAUUAGCAUGGAAUAAUAAUUUAGGACUUCGGUUCUAUUUUGUUGGUUUCUAGGACUGAAGUAAUGAUUGAUAGGGAUAGUUGGGGGUGCUAGUAUUCAGCGGCCAGAGGUGAAAUUCUCGGAUUCGCUGAAGACUAACUUAUGCGAAAGCAUU
rnacentral:rRNA from 1 species